UACGGGGGGGGCAAGCGUUGUUCGGAAUUACUGGGCGUAAAGGGCUUGUAGGUGGCCAACUAAGUCAGACGUGAAAUCCCUCGGCUUAACCGGGGAACUGCGUCUGAUACUGGAUGGCUAGAGUGUGGGAGAGGGAUGCGGAAUUCCAGGUGUAGCGGUGAAAUGCGUAGAUAUCUGGAGGAACACCGGUGGCGAAGGCGGCACUCUGGGCCGGUACUGACGCUGAGGAGCGAAAGCGUGGGGAGCAAACAGG
rnacentral:rRNA from 1 species